ACCCAACGCCAUAUUCAUCUUUACCACCAUGAAAAUGGAGUUUUUCAAUUUCUUUUCCUUGUUUUCUUCUUAUUUCCUUUCUUUUCUUGCUUAUUUCUCCUCCAAACUUCUUGGGAACUAAAUUUGCAGCUUCUAACCCUAAUUUCCAGCAAAUCUAAACCUUAGGAGAGAGAAAGAAAAAUCUCUCCUUGUUUCUUAUACUUUCUAUUUCUACUUCACUUUCAACAACACUUGGAUUUUUUGCUUCAAAUCUUCAUUUCCAAGGUUGAAAGGUAUAUAUAUUUCCAACUUUUGGAACUUUCGAAUUUAUGGUUAUAUUUUCAUAUUUAUUCCCUAAUUUCUUCAAAUUAUUUUUCUUGGAAAGAUUAGGUUUUUUGUUGAUCUUCAUGCCUCCAAGCUCAUCCAGGUAAUGAAAUUUUAAAUUGGAAUAGUUGGCCAAAUGGGUUUGUGAAUUAGACUAGAAACUUAGGUUAAAUGUUAGGUUAGAGGGUAGAUUGCCUAAUGUAAAUUCAUUAGAAUUAUUAGAUUUAAUUUAUGACUUAAUUGAGGUUGUUAUGGUUUAUUGAUAAAUAUAGGUUUUAAUGGUAUUUCAGGACUACUUGGAUUAAGACCUUGUUGGUGCUAGUUUUGUCAG
rnacentral:lncRNA from 1 species